UGGGAACGUACCUUUCAGUUCGGGGCAACCAAGGGAAACUUUGGCUAAUACCGGAUACGCCCGUAAGGGGAAAGAUUUAUCGCUGAAAGAUCGGCCCGCGUCUGAUUAGCUAGUUGGUGGGGUAAUGGCCCACCAAGGCGACGAUCAGUAGCUGGUCUGAGAGGAUGAUCAGCCACAUUGGGACUGAGACACGGCCCAAACUCCUACGGGAGGCAG
rnacentral:rRNA from 1 species